UGCAAGUCGAACGAAGUAGUAAUACUUAGUGGCAGACGGGUGAGUAACAUGUAGGUAUCUGCCCUCUGGCCUGGAAUAACACGAGGAAACUUGUGCUAAUACCGGAUAAGUCUUUACGGAGAAAGCUUUAUGCACCAUUGGAUGAGCCUGCACUUGAUUAGUUUGUUGGUGGGGUAAUGGCCUACCAAGACUGUGAUCAAUAGCUGAUUUGAGAGGAUGAUCAGCCACAUUGGGACUGAGACACGGCCCAAACUCCUACGGGAGGCAGCAGUGGGGAAUCUUGCACAAUGGAGGAAACUCUGAUGCAGCGAUGCCGCGUGAGUGAAGAAGGCCCUUGGGUUGUAAAGCUCUUUCGUCGGGGAAGAAAAUGACUGUACCCGAAUAAGAAGGUCCGGCUAACUUCGUGCCAGCAGCCGCGGUAAUACGAAGGGACCUAGCGUAGUUCGGAAUUACUGGGCUUAAAGAGUUCGUAGGUGGUUGAAAAAGUUGGUGGUGAAAUCCCAGAGCUUAACUCUGGAACUGCCAUCAAAACUUUUCAGCUAGAGUAUGAUAGAGGAAAGCAGAAUUUCUAGUGUAGAGGUGAAAUUCGUAGAUAUUAGAAAGAAUACCAAUUGCGAAGGCAGCUUUCUGGAUCAUUACUGACACUGAGGAACGAAAGCAUGGGUAGCGAAGAGGAUUAGAUACCCUCGUAGUCCAUGCCGUAAACGAUGUGUGUUAGACGUUGGAAAUUUAUUUUCAGUGUCGCA
rnacentral:rRNA from 1 species